rnacentral:rRNA from 1 species
CGUGAAGUUGGAAUCGCUAGUAAUCGCGGAUCAGCAUGCCGCGGUGAAUACGUUCCCGGGCCUUGUACACACCGCCCGUCACACCAUGAGAGUCGGGAACACCCGAAGUCCGUAGCCUAACCGCAAGGGGGGCGCGGCCGAAGGUGGGUUCGAUAAUUGGGGUGAAGUCGUAACAAGGUAUC